GAGUUCUGUGCUUCAACCCUCCUUUACUACUUCUCUCAGUACACUCACUCUAAUUCCCCUGCUUUAUUUUCUCCUUUUUCCUCCAAAUCAUUAUCAGUUGAAGGAGUGCUCAAGGACUACUUCAGUUCCUCCUCCUUCUCUAAUAGACAUGUCACUUCCUGUCUCCAUUAUGUGCCCAUUCUUCAGCAUGAAGAGUUAUUGUGCCAUUACUUUCUCUCUUCAUUUGAAUCAAGUUGUAUUUCUUCAAUUUAAUAUGUAUUCAUAGGUUCCCAGGUUAGGGGUCAAAUCGGAGCUGUCGCCACUGGCCUACACCAGAGCCACAGCAACGCGGGAUCCGAGCCGCGUCUGCAACCUGCACCACAGUUCACGGCAACGCCAGAUCCUUAACCCACUGAGCAAGGCCAGGGAUAAGACCUACAACCUUAUGGUUCCUAGUCGGAUUCGUUAACCACUGCACCACGACAGGAACUCCAAGGGUAAUGCUUUCUUAGGCUUUAUCUUUAGCAAUGAACCAUCUCUCCUUCCUAUCCAUAAUUGACUAUUCAGUGGUCCUGGAAUCUACCCUGAAGUCUUAUCCCCCCAUCUGAGCCUUUGUAUACAUUUUUCUCACUGCCUGGAAUGACUUGCACCCUCUUCCCUGCUAAGAAAAACUUUUCUGAUAAAAAAAAAAAAUGUAUUUAUUCAGGCCCAGCUAAAAUCACAACUUCUCUACAAAGUUUUCCCCUUUAAGUCAAGAAUUACAUAGUAGUUACGAAUAUGGAAGAUUCAGUCUACAAUGUUCACAAUUCUUCUUUAUAUUGUCUUUCUAUAAUUUAAGUUUAUGCCUGUUUCAACCACUACAUGGUAGGAUGUUCAAAUCCACAACCUGGUCUUUUUCAUCUUUGCAUCCCACAUUGCCCAGCUCAGUGCAAGGUAUGUAUUACUUGCUGUGUCUCAAGGUUUGAGCUCAUAAACUUUGAAGAUGAAUGAAAGAUCUCUGGGUUAAGAUCUCCACUUGUCUGAUCACUAGCACUCUGGAGGCAAGUAACUCAGCAUUUCUGAAUCCUCAGUUUCUCCUUUAAUAAACUUAGAGUAAUAAUGGAUUCUACGUCAUGAGAAUGAGUAUCAGAAUGUGUGUGAGAUGAGCUAAAUACUCCAAAAAAUAGCUACAUAUUAGAUAUUCUAUGAAUCUUUCUUGAAAUCAAUUCAAGUAUUUGUAUGGGAGAGCCUUUCUACCAUUUUAAAUGUGGGUGGUGACAAAAAGGGACACGAAGGUGGCCGAGGUUGGGAGGGGCACUUGCUCUCAACAGGACCCUCUCUAGUCCAAAAGCCUGUUUGUACCUGAAAUCUGACCUUGUGCCUCAGAGCAUAAGAAUCACUUUGAUCCAACCCCUGACACUUGAUUUUAUUGUUCUCUUUGUGAAACAAUCUCAUUAGAGAAAUCAUGCUGCUGUGAAAGCAGGUCACUCAGCUGGGGGCAGGCAAAGAAAGUCUUGCUUGGCUUAGUCAUGACCUCCAUGAAGAGUGAAGUGUUAGUGAGGAGCCCUGGGAUUUGCAGUGUGCCACGGCCAAGGUUUUCACUAGAGGCUGCUGGGAGUUUGGGCAGAAGGAAGAGUAAUGAAGGGGUUGACUGAACUGCUGCUGUGGGUAUUAGCAUCAGUUCUCCCCUCCUGGCUAGUAAUGAGCUCUCUGCCCAUCUGGUGGGAAAUCCCGGAUGGAAGGAGGAAGCAGGGUGCUGCCAAGGGUGAUACUGACAGUGAUAUAUUUAGAAUAAACACCCAACUGGGUUGCUCAUCAUCCGCAGUCAACAUUGACCUUCUUGCAUUUUCUGCAAGUACAAAAAGUGUUCAUUGAAGAACCUGGAACUCACUUCGAUUUAAGAUACAUUUUUUGGCUUCUUGUCUUUAUAAA
rnacentral:lncRNA from 1 species